rnacentral:rRNA from 1 species
UACAGGGGGUGCAAGCGUUGCUCGGAAUCAUUGGGCGUAAAGCGCACGUAGGCGGUCUGUUAUGUCGGAUGUGAAAGCCCUUGGCUCAACUGAGGAAGUGCAUCCGAAACUGGCAGGCUAGAGUACUAAAGAGGAUCGCGGAAUUCCCGGUGUAGAGGUGAAAUUCGUAGAUAUCGGGAGGAACACCGGGUGGCGAAGGUGGCGAUCUGGGUAGAUACUGACGCUGAGGUGCGAAAGCGUGGGGAGCAAACAGG